UAUUUUGCAUUGCCAUUCCAUGUAUUUUCUUUUAUGCAUUUAUAUAUUAGUCUUGCCCUCUCUCUCACACUCAUACACAAGCAUGGGUGCAUGCACUCAAAACAAAUGCGCUCUCGGGAAGAAGUCCAACACUGGCACAAUGACUCCUCUCUGGUCCCCAGGAAAGCUUCCUGUGGUCGAUUAGAGGACCUUCUGUGUCCUGCGGGCCGUUCCUAGCCUGCCUGGCCUCAGGGCCACACAGCCGGGCCUUUUAGUCCAAGGCUGGUUAGCAAACACCUCUGAGAGAAAGUCUCCCCAGCACCGACCCCAGACAGCUCCUGACUGAGGCUUUCAGGCAGCCAGGGGCACUGGGAGGCUACCUGAGGGCCAGCUGAGGUGAGCCAGUGGCUCACCAUAGGUGUGUCAUGGCUGUUUCCCCAACUUGGAUCUUGGCUUCUCCAGGGUAACAACCCAGCAAGUGCCUGGUGGGGGACACAGUGCAUCUUGGACAUUUACAGGGUUUUGUCCCCAGCUCCAGGCCAGUUCUUGUGUGUGGGGUUUCGAGGCGCAGAGCUGCCAUGUCCGCGUGAGGCCCCUCCCCCAUGCUCCAGCCCUGCAGCCGUGUGCCACGCCACGCCACGUGACCUGCGUCACGUGCGUGACCUGCAUCACGUGCAUACUCUACAUGACAGAGGGCCUUUUGUUUCCCAGCAGCUGCGCCGGGACCCUGCUGGCAGCUGGUGCAGCAAAAGAUGGAUCCUUCCAUCCACAGGGGCCUCAACUCCAGGGUCUCCCAGCCUUACAGUGGCUCAGAGGUACUUAAAUGGUUCUUUUGUUACUUUCGCCACCCUCCUCUUCAGGUCCGCUGGUGCCCUGCUCCUGGGAAAGCUUGGGCGAGGAGUAGAAGCCAGCUCUAGGUGACUGCGCCUGAGGCUUGCCGUGGUGCUUGGAGUUUGGGACGGGGUGGGUUUUAGCACUUCCUCAAGUCACCACUUGUUUAUGAUGGCGGUCGGGUUUUCAAAACUCCAUAUCUGAAGUGGUAUUUAGAAACCAGGAACAAAGACGCGAACUCAGAACUUCCUCCCAAAUUCGUGCGCAGCAUCUCUUAAGAUAGCGCUGUCAGGAGAGCUGAGCUUCUGGUAGGUAGCUUGUGGUGGUUGGACAAGUUUUUCUCUUAGGCGUGCCAGUGAAAUGGCUAUCUUAAAAAGCUUCCUGGGCGAGGUCUUCUCCCAGAUGCGUUGGGACCUCCCUGGCCCAGUGUGCUGGCCCGGCAGCCAUGGCACAGAGGGUAGCCACCUCCCUGCGCAUGGGCAAAUUGUGAAGGCAGCCAACCCAGGGACAGCCCAGAUAAUAAAGCCCACAGAGAGCAAAGAGAAGAGUUCCCGUGGAAAUCCCUGUACUUGCUGGGUACCCCAUGUGGUCCCAGAUAUAAUUAGGAGCAGGCGUGUCAGCAAAUAAGUUGCCCCCUGCUUAGAAAAUCACUACUCACGAUGUUGUUAAAAAGGAACGUUGCCUUUAGUCACAAAACCAGCAAUCUGGGGAGGUGGUGGGCACAUCCUCCCCCCAGAAACUACCUCUGAAGCUUUUGCUCACCGUGGAAGUUUUUGAAGAGAAACAGAAGUAAUCUCAGUCCAUCAUUGGAAUAGGGGAUCAGAGUUAUCACCACCCCUCUCUGCAGGCUUGUCAGCUUCUUGUGGUGUUCUAGACGUUAUCUGGUUCACACAGUUGGGUCACAUAAUUUGUUUAGGUUACUGAAGGGGAAGCUAGGGAAGAGAUCUGGUCAUCUGUUCUUCUACUUUACGGAAAGAACCAACAAGUUAGACAAGUUAUUGGGUGAUUCAUGCUCAGUCGUGUCCAACUCUUGUGACACCAUGGACUGCAGCAUGACCGGCUCUGUUGUCCAGUGGAUUUCCAAGGUUAGAAUACUGGGGUGGGCUGCCAUUUUCUUCUCCAGGGCAUCUUCCCCACCCAGAAAUCCAACCCAGGUCUCUUUUGUCUCCUUCAUUGACAUGUGGAUCCUUUGUUACUGCUGUCACCUGGGACCCUCUUUUUUGUGAUUAAAGAUUGCAAAGAUGGGCUUGGGCAGUAGAUGAGUAGAUCAUUGGGGUGCCUGGUUUAAAAUGUAUUUAA
rnacentral:lncRNA from 1 species